rnacentral:rRNA from 1 species
UACGAAGGGGGCUAGCGUUGCUCGGAAUCACUGGGCGUAAAGGGUGCGUAGGCGGGUCUUUAAGUCAGGGGUGAAAUCCUGGAGCUCAACUCCAGAACUGCCUUUGAUACUGAGGAUCUUGAGUCCGGGAGAGGUGAGUGGAACUGCGAGUGUAGAGGUGAAAUUCGUAGAUAUUCGCAAGAACACCCGUGGCGAAGGCGGCUCUCUGGGACGGUACUGACGCUGAGACGCGAAAGCGUGGGGAGCGAACAGG